AGACCACCAGCUAAGGUCCCAAAAUAUAUGUUAAGUGGAAAAGGAUGUGGCGUUGCCCAGACAACUAGGAUGUUGGCUUAGAAGCAGCCAUCAUUUAAAGAGUGCGUAAUAGCUCACUAGUCGAGUGACACUGCGCCGAAAAUGUACCGGGGCUAAACAUAUUACCGAAGCUGUGGAUUGUCCUUUGGACAAUGGUAGGAGAGCGUUCUAAGGGCGUUGAAGCAUGAUCGUAAGGACAUGUGGAGCGCUUAGAAGUGAGAAUGCCGGUGUGAGUAGCGAAAGACGGGUGAGAAUCCCGUCCACCGAUUGACUAAGGUUUCCAGAGGAAGGCUCGUCCGCUCUGGGUUAGUCGGGUCCUAAGCUGAGGCCGACAGGCGUAGGCGAUGGAUAACAGGUUGAUAUUCCUGUACCACCUAUAAUCGUUUUAAUCGAUGGGGGGACGCAGUAGGAUAGGCGAAGCGUGCGAUUGGAUUGCACGUCUAAGCAGUAAGGCUGAGUAUUAGGCAAAUCCGGUACUCGUUAAGGCUGAGCUGUGAUGGGGAGAAGACAUUGUGUCUUCGAGUCGUUGAUUUCACACUGCCGAGAAAAGCCUCUAGAUAGAAAAUAGGUGCCCGUACCGCAAACCGACACAGGUAGUCAAGAUGAGAAUUCUAAGGUGAGCGAGCGAACUCUCGUUAAGGAACUCGGCAAAAUGACCCCGUAACUUCGGGAGAAGGGGUGCUCUUUAGGGUUAACGCCCAGAAGAGCCGCAGUGAAUAGGCCCAAGCGACUGUUUAUCAAAAACACAGGUCUCUGCUAAACCGUAAGGUGAUGUAUAGGGGCUGACGCCUGCCCGGUGCUGGAAGGUUAAGAGGAGUGGUUAGCUUCUGCGAAGCUACGAAUCGAAGCCCCAGUAAACGGCGGCCGUAACUAUAACGGUCCUAAGGUAGCGAAAUUCCUUGUCGGGUAAGUUCCGACCCGCACGAAAGGCGUAACGAUUUGGGCACUGUCUCAACGAGAGACUCGGUGAAAUCAUAGUACCUGUGAAGAUGCAGGUUACCCGCGACAGGACGGAAAGACCCCGUGGAGCUUUACUGUAGCCUGAUAUUGAAAUUCGGCACAGCUUGUACAGGAUAGGUAGGAGCCUUUGAAACGUGAGCGCUAGCUUACGUGG
rnacentral:rRNA from 1 species